AAUAAAUUCCUCGAAAUCCUACUGAUAGCUUUUUAAAUCUGUUGUCCAGUUGAUAAAAUAUUUGUACUUUAAUCCUAAAUCAUCGCAUAGCUGUGAAAUAAGUAGCAAGGUUUGAGCAGAAAGACGUCACAGAAUCGUGAAAUAAAGCUAGUGGAUUAGCAGAGUAAACACUACUACAGUGUCUGUACAUUGCUGGUUGGAAAUGGAUUAAUUGUGGAUGAGGGCAGGACGAGUUGGCUUGUGGAUGUACUAGCAACGUGUCAUCGAGUUCGGUAGGGGUACGGGGAAAGGGGGACAAGAUGCCGCAAGGGUUGCAGUUCAUUAGACAGAGCCUCAAGCAUCACGUGACCAGACUAACCAAUCAAAGGAAUCGCUUUGGAACUUCAUAGUAGUAGCGUCAUUUUGAUGAAGAAGACGCUCGGAGACGGAACUAAACCUUGUCUUCGUGUUAAAAGAAUUACGGUGACAAAGACAAGCUCUUUAUCAUAACCGAGAGUUCUGAUAAUAGUGUUUGUCUUCUCAGAGCAAUAUUAGCAUAAGUCUAGCCAGACACGUAGUCUAAUUAGGGAGAGGUUAUGGCGGCUACCUGGCAAUAUUGACUGAAGUGAUUUGGUUGUUGGGUGUUCAAGGGAAGAAUAACUUGUGGACAAGUUUCUGUCUGUAUUUCGUGUCUUUAAUAACACUGUUAUAAAAACGAACGUUGGCCAUGUUGUUGCUACAAUGUUAUUGAUAUAAUUGAUUAUUUUGCUGCCAUUGCUAUAUCCCACGCCACGAGGCGCAAAUAUAUUUGAUAUGUACUCCAAAACAAUGCACAUUUCUAAUCUUGUUACGAUAGGGAUAAACUUGUUCCACUACAAAAUACAAUUUUUUCAGAAGCCGAAUGGCUAGUUAAUCAGGGAAGACUCCUACCAGGGCCUCAUCUACAGCAGACGUCACCAAAUUCCAUAUUUCAAGGUCACGGAAGUACUUCAUAACCCCCCUUUCCCCGCGGCUCUAAGUCAACAGCACAGCAUAGCCAGAUUUGUUACGUCAUAAGUUCUGAACUACCUUCACUCGCCUGGUCUCAGCUGUUCGUGUUGCAACGUUAUACUGCGACGUCAGUCUAAUGAGAGAGCUUGGCUGACAACUAAUUAGCUCUCGGAGUUGAGAUCAGACUUGAAAUAAGGCAGCCGUCAACCCAUCCCCACCUGCCACUCUGUCACAACAACCACAGAUACCACCACACAGAACUGCUCUGCUCUCAAGAAACUAAAAAUAUCCUCGCUUGGUUUGGUCUAUUUCGUAAAAUAUGACGUAAAAGCUCCAAAACAAAAAGAUCUGAUGGCGUCUUCAGAGGAUCAUUGGUAAUGACGUCAUCACUAACCCCCCCCUCUCUGAAGUUCCUGUAUCCAUCAUGAUGGUAUUUACGAUUGCAACAAAUUAAGAACUUCGAAUGUGACGCGGGUCUCGAGUGACGUCAUUGAAACAUGGAGCGUGUGGGUCAUGACGUCAUCGCAGAACAUGAAUCUUCUAUCUCGCUCGAAGCAUUGGGUUCACACAGCGCCCUAUCUGCCGGCAGAAACUGGCAAUCCUUACCCACGCUGCCUUCUCUUAUAAACAUUUGACAGUCGAAAUUCAGAGAUGAGAUGAGAAGAAGAGGUUAGUUUGUACACUGACUUAUCAUAACAUUUACACCAUUCGUACAUGUUUCCCCCUGAAUAUUAGCCGUCACCAAAUUGCGUGCUU